AUUGAACGCUGGCGGCAGGCUUAACACAUGCAAGUCGAGCGGGGGAAGGUAGCUUGCUACCGGACCUGGCGGCGGACGGGUGAGUAAUGCUUAGGAAUCUGCCUAUUAGUGGGGGACAACAUCUCGAAAGGGAUGCUAAUACCGCAUACGUCCUACGGGAGAAAGCAGGGGAUCUUCGGACCUUGCGCUAAUAGAUGAGCCUAAGUCGGAUUAGCUAGUUGGUGGGGUAAAGGCCUACCAAGGCGACGAUCUGUAGCGGGUCUGAGAGGAUGAUCCGCCACACUGGGACUGAGACACGGCCCAGACUCCUACGGGAGGCAGCAGUGGGGAAUAUUGGACAAUGGGGGGAACCCUGAUCCAGCCAUGCCGCGUGUGUGAAGAAGGCCUUAUGGUUGUAAAGCACUUUAAGCGAGGAGGAGGCUCUUUUGGUUAAUACCCAAGAUGAGUGGACGUUACUCGCAGAAUAAGCACCGGCUAACUCUGUGCCAGCCGCCGCAGUAA
rnacentral:rRNA from 1 species